UACGUAGGUGGCAAGCGUUGUCCGGAAUUAUUGGGCGUAAAGCGCGCGCAGGUGGUUUCUUAAGUCUGAUGUGAAAGCCCACGGCUCAACCGUGGAGGGUCAUUGGAAACUGGGGAACUUGAGUGCAGAAGAGGAAAGUGGAAUUCCAAGUGUAGCGGUGAAAUGCGUAGAGAUUUGGAGGAACACCAGUGGCGAAGGCGACUUUCUGGUCUGUAACUGACACUGAGGAGCGAAAGCGUGGGUAGCAAACAGG
rnacentral:rRNA from 1 species